rnacentral:rRNA from 1 species
GACGAACGCUGGCGGCGUGCUUAACACAUGCAAGUCGAACGGUGACGAUCAAGCUUGCUUGGUCUGAUCAGUGGCGAACGGGUGAGUAACACGUGAGUAACCUGCCCCAGACUCUGGGAUAACCCCGGGAAACCGGAGCUAAUACCGGAUAUGACAUGCCCCUGCAUGGGGAGUGUGUGGAAAGUUUUUUCGGUCUGGGAUGGACUCGCGGCCUAUCAGCUUGUUGGUGAGGUAAUGGCUCACCAAGGCGACGACGGGUAGCCGGCCUGAGAGGGCGACCGGCCACACUGGGACUGAGACACGGCCCAGACUCCUACGGGAGGCAGCAGUGGGGAAUAUUGCACAAUGGGCGAAAGCCUGAUGCAGCGACGCCGCGUGAGGGAUGACGGCCUUCGGGUUGUAAACCUCUUUCAGCAGGGAAGAAGCGCAAGUGACGGUACCUGCAGAAGAAGCACCGGCUAACUACGUGCCAGCCGCCGCAGUAACAC